CUUGAGGCAAGUCUGGAAUCCCUCCAGGAAUUGAAAGUGUACCACUGUAGAAAGCAGGUGCUUCAUAACUCUGCGGAUUGCCAACAGAUCUCUUUGGUUGGUCGGGGUAGUCAUGAAUGAAAUGGUUCACUGCUCCAUCUAUAUUUAGGGGAUAGAUUUCCCAUUCAACAAGUAUAUCUUCAUCAAGAGUUAAAUUUGAAACCAGACCCUUGAAGUCAUUAUUGAAUCUUCCAAAGUUGACUCGGCCCAUAUUCUCUACUAAGAUGUCCAGAUUUGCUCCAGCAUUUCCAGUUAUAUUUAUCAUUAGUGACUUGCCCCUUUCAAGGACUCCUUGC
rnacentral:lncRNA from 1 species